rnacentral:miRNA from 1 species
UAUUAGGUUGGUGCAAAGGUAAUUGCAGUUUUCACCAUUCAAAUUAAUAGCAAAAACAGCAAUUACUUUUGCACCAAC